rnacentral:rRNA from 1 species
UAUUGGCGAACGGGUGAGUAACACGUGAGUAACCUGCCCUUAACUCUGGGAUAAGCCUGGGAAACUGGGUCUAAUACCGGAUAUGACUCCUCAUCGCAUGGUGGGGGGUGGAAAGCUUUAUUGUGGUUUUGGAUGGACUCGCGGCCUAUCAGCUUGUUGGUGAGGUAAUGGCUCACCAAGGCGACGACGGGUAGCCGGCCUGAGAGGGUGACCGGCCACACUGGGACUGAGACACGGCCCAGACUCCUACGGGAGGCAGCAGUGGGGAAUAUUGCACAAUGGGCGAAAGCCUGAUGCAGCGACGCCGCGUGAGGGAUGACGGCCUUCGGGUUGUAAACCUCUUUCAGUAGGGAAGAAGCGAAAGUGACGGUACCUGCAGAAGAAGCGCCGGCUAACUACGUGCCAGCAGCCGCGGUAAUACGUAGGGCGCAAGCGUUAUCCGGAAUUAUUGGGCGUAAAGAGCUCGUAGGCGGUUUGUCGCGUCUGCCGUGAAAGUCCGGGGCUCAACUCCGGAUCUGCGGUGGGUACGGGCAGACUAGAGUGAUGUAGGGGAGACUGGAAUUCCUGGUGUAGCGGUGAAAUGCGCAGAUAUCAGGAGGAACACCGAUGGCGAAGGCAGGUCUCUGCGCAUUAACUGACGCUGAGGAGCGAAAGCAUGGGGAGCGAACAGGAUUAGAUACCCUGGUAGUCCAUGCCGUAAACGUUGGGCACUAGGUGUGGGGGACAUUCCACGUUUUCCGCGCCGUAGCUAACGCAUUAAGUGCCCCGCCUGGGGGAGUACGGCCGCAAGGCUAAAACUCAAAGGAAUUGACGGGGGCCCGCACAAGCGGCGGAGCAUGCGGAUUAAUUCGAUGCAACGCGAAGAACCUUACCAAGGCUUGACAUGAACCGGAAAUACCUGGAAACAGGUGCCCCGCUUGCGGUCGGUUUACAGGUGGUGCAUGGUUGUCGUCAGCUCGUGUCGUGAGAUGUUGGGUUAAGUCCCGCAACGAGCGCAACCCUCGUUCUAUGUUGCCAGCGCGUUAUGGCGGGGACUCAUAGGAGACUGCCGGGGUCAACUCGGAGGAAGGUGGGGACGACGUCAAAUCAUCAUGCCCCUUAUGUCUUGGGCUUCACGCAUGCUACAAUGGCCGGUACAAAGGGUUGCGAUACUGUGAGGUGGAGCUAAUCCCAAAAAGCCGGUCUCAGUUCGGAUUGGGGUCUGCAACUCGACCCCAUGAAGUCGGAGUCGCUAGUAAUCGCAGAUCAGCAACGCUGCGGUGAAUACGUUCCCGGGCCUUGUACACACCGCCCGUCAAGUCACGAAAGUUGGUAACACCCGAAGCCGGUGGCCUAACCCCUUGUGG